rnacentral:snRNA from 1 species
GGACGUGAGGGUGAUCUGGCUGCGACAUCUGUCACCCCAUUGAUUGCCAGGGUUGAUUCAGCUGAUCUGGCUGUCUAGACGGGUGUCCCCUUCCUCCCUCAAUGAUCCAUGUGCAUCCCUCCCAAAGCUGCACGCUCGGUCGAAGAGGACGACCACCCCCGAUAGAGGAGGACCGUUCCUCGGUCAAGGGUGUACGAGUAGCUGCGCUCCCCUGCUAGAACCUCCAAACAAGCUCUCAAGGAGUUCUGGGUGCUCCCUAGUGCUGGGUGCUCUUGGUUAAGAUAGCUCCUCUG